UACAUGGGGUGCAAACGUUGCUCGGAAUUAUUGGGCGUAAAGCGCGCGUAGGCGGUUACUCAAGUCGGAUGUGAAAGCCCUCGGCUUAACUGAGGAAGUGCACCCGAAACUGAGUAGCUAGAGUACUAAAGAGGGUCGCGGAAUUCCCGGUGUAGAGGUGAAAUUCGUAGAUAUCGGGAGGAACACCGGUGGCGAAGGCGGCUCACUGGCCCGUAACUGACGCUGAGGUGCGAAAGCGUGGGGAGCAAACAGG
rnacentral:rRNA from 1 species